rnacentral:snRNA from 18 species
AUACUUGCCUGACAAGGGAGACAACAUGAUGAGGAAGAUGGUUUUCUCGUGGUGUUUCAUCUGUUGCAGUGUGGGUGUGCUUGACCCUUGAAGUUUACCCAGAAGUAGGAAACAUGACUGCAUAAUUUGGGGUGGGGAGCACAUUCACACUUGCCUG